rnacentral:rRNA from 1 species
CACUGGCCUUGGCAAAUCAGAGGACUCUCCAGCAAGACCUUUUUGGUCAGAUUCCCCCCCUUGAAGAAAGUGGAAGACCUCAUUGAACUGCCUGGAUUCUCCCUCCCACAAGAUGUGAAUGUGACAUUAACUAAAUGGAAGGGUGGAUGUGAACCUUUUGGAGAGUUGAUUGAAGCCUGGGUACUGAUUGAGGGGAUUCCCCCAAAGUGGUGUACUUGGAAAGUGUUUGCCCAAAUUGCUUCACUAUUUGGGGUGCUUAAAGAUGUGGAUUGGAAUGGGAUGUUUAGAACUUUCUUUGAGAAUGUCAGAAUUAAAAUAGCCUGCAGAGAUCCAACCAAGAUCCCUUUUGAGAGACUGAUUGAGAUGAAGAAAAAGUUAUUCCUACUUGGCUUCACUGUUGAGGGUUUUGAA